CGACCACGACCGCCCCAUGGCUCCAACCGUGUUGAACCGCCCAGGGUGCACUUCCGGAUGCUUGGGAACUUGACCCUUCGUGCCUGAAGAUAUUACCAAAACCAUCCGUGCAGAUCAGGCCACACAUGAACACACGACAAUUCCGAGGUAUCCGCAACAACCCAUCUCGGCACUGUGAGGCCAGGCAGGCACCUCAACAGCGCACACUUUUCCGAGGGACAGGCAACAGGGGACACGUUGCUGAUGGCCUCAACCACAAACGCGCCAUGGCCUCAACCAUGUUCAACCGCCAAAAGUGCACUUCCGGAUGCUUGGAAACUUGCCCCUUCGUGCUACGGCCAUGCCCAUUAGAGCAACACCUAGCGCCACAUCCUUCCGUGCAGAACGGGUCACACGAGAAGCCUCGGCACGUCCGAGGGAUGCCCACAACUACCCAUCUCGGCACUGUGAGGCCAGGCCGGCACCUCAACAGAGCACACAUUUCCGAGGGACGAGGCGACUGCAGAGACG